UAUCGGCACUCUCGCGACGACAAGCUGUUAACCCCGUCAGGCCCGGAAGGGAGCAGCGGCAGCAGUGGAAUCGGGCGCCGGGAUGCGGCUGGUACGG
rnacentral:SRP_RNA from 1 species